AGCUGCCCCACGCCUAUGUGCGCUACGGAAUUUAAACGCGCGAGCGCGCGCGGCCACUUCCGCCCAUGCGGUGCGGGCUGCGUGCGUCCCCGGAAACACGUGACUACGAGACGAGCAGGCUCUCAUGAUCGAGUCUCUCACCUUUCUGAAGAGACGCCGCGACAACAAGAUUUUACAAGUGCAGAACUCGUGGGGAUGUGGAGGCUUUCCAGUAUUGCGAUCCACGGGUGGAUCGCGAAAUAUUCCUUGUGCAUCUCAAGACAAAUCAGACAAAAAUCCCCCGUGUAGCCUUAACAGACUUGUGGGGCAAGUGCUGUUAGCGAGCACUUAUG